rnacentral:rRNA from 1 species
CAAACUGCGAAACGUAAUGCGAAUUGCAGAACUCGUGAAUCAUCAAAUUUUUGAACGCAAGUGGCGCUCUCGGGUAAUCCUGAGAGCAUGUCUGUUUGAGUGUC